AUCGCUAGCUGCUGUGGCGUCUCGCCUCGAUCCCGCCCAUUACCGGGCUGCAGGUGAAGAAGCAGACCGCCGAAGCUUUUUGGGACACUGAAGUAUUUUUUUCAGUUGAUCGUAGAAGAAGCGAGCGAGGAACUGCACAUGUCGUCAUUUUAUAAACGAGAUCUUUUCUGGUCACGGCCAUUUUGCAGUGCAUGCGCUGUCAACAACUGAAGCUGCAUUAAAAA